CAUGCAAGUCGAACGGGAAGUGGUGUUUCCAGUGGCGAACGGGUGAGUAACGCGUAAGAACCUGCCCUUGGGAGGGGAACAACAACUGGAAACGGUUGCUAAUACCCCGUAGGCUGAGGAGCAAAAGGAGAAAUCCGCCCAAGGAGGGGCUCUGGUCUGAUUAGCUAGUUGGUGAGGCAAUAGCUUACCAAGGCGAUGAUCAGUAGCUGGUCCGAGAGGAUGAUCAGCCACACUGGGACUGAGACACGGCCCAGACUCCUACGGGAGGCAGCAGUGGGGAAUUUUCCGCAAUGGGCGAAA
rnacentral:ncRNA from 1 species